rnacentral:rRNA from 1 species
CCUACGGGUGGCAGCAGUGGGGAAUAUUGGGCAAUGGGCGCAAGCCUGACCCAGCAACGCCGCGUGAAGGAAGAAGGCUUUCGGGUUGUAAACUUCUUUUGUCAGGGAGCAACGCCGGCUACGUGUAGCCGGACUGAGAGUACCUGAAGAAAAAGCAUCGGCUAACUCCGUGCCAGCAGCCGCGGUAAUACGGAGGAUGCGAGCGUUAUCCGGAUUUAUUGGGUUUAAAGGGUGCGUAGGCGGAAUGCCAAGUCAGCGGUAAAAUCGCGGGGCUCAACCUCGCUCCGCCGUUGAAACUGGCGUUCUUGAGUGGGCGAGAAGUAUGCGGAAUGCGUGGUGUAGCGGUGAAAUGCAUAGAUAUCACGCAGAACUCCGAUUGCGAAGGCAGCAUACCGGCGCCCAACUGACGCUGAAGCACGAAAGCGUGGGUAUCGAACAGGAUUAGAUACCCUAGUAGUC